CACCUACUCCCGCCGUUCCAAAUUACUCGUCGCAGAAAUUGAUGUAUCUAGAACUAAAAUACAUCUAGAUACAUCCAUUUCUGUGACGAGUAAUUCGGAACGGAGGGAGUAUUUG
rfam:Triticum aestivum genome assembly, contig: Triticum_aestivum_CS42_TGACv1_scaffold_485836_6AS